rnacentral:rRNA from 1 species
UUUCGACCUGAGGUCAGGCAAGAACACCCGCUGAACUUAAGCAUAUCAAUAAGCGGAGGAAAAGAAACUAACUAGGAUUCCU